rnacentral:rRNA from 1 species
AGCGAACGCUGGCGGCGUGCUUAACACAUGCAAGUCGAGUGCGCGUUUCUGUAGCAAUACAGGAAUGGCGCACGGCGCACGGGUGCGUAACACGUGGGUAAUCUGCCCUCUGAUGGGGAAUAACCCGCCGAAAGGCGGGCUAAUUCCGCAUAACAUUCCGGGGACCUCGGUCUCUGGAUUCAAAGGCGUAAGUCGUCGGAGGAGGAGCCCGCGCACGAUUAGCUAGNGGUAGGGUAACGGCCUACCAAGGCUAUGAUCGUUAGCUGGUCUGAGAGGAUGGCCAGCCACACUGGAACUGAGACACGGUCCAGACUCCUACGGGAGGCAGCAGUGGGGAAUCUUGCGCAAUGGGCGAAAGCCUGACGCAGCGACGCCGCGUGGGGGAUGAAGC